GAUGAAGAACUUAGCGAAAUGCGAUAAGUAAUGUGAAUUGCAGAAUUCAGUGAAUCAUCGAAUCUUUGAACGCACAUUGCGCCCGCCAGUAUUCUGGCGGGCAUGCCUGUUCGAGCGUCAUUUCAACCAUCAAGCCCUGCUUGCGUUGGGGUCCUGCGGCUGCCCGCAGGCCCUGAAAACCAGUGGCGGGCUCGCUAGUCACACCGAGCGCAGUAAUACAUCUCGCUUUGGGCGUGCGGCGGGUUCUUGCCGUUAAACACCCCCUUUUUACCAAGGUUGACCUCGGAUCAGGUAGGAAUACCCGCUGAACUUAAGCAUAUCAAUAAGCGGAGGA
rnacentral:misc_RNA from 1 species